rnacentral:rRNA from 1 species
CACGUAGGGCGCAAGCGUUGUCCGGAAUUAUUGGGCGUAAAGAGCUCGUAGGCGGUCUGUUGCGUCCGCUGUGAAAACUCGGGGCUUAACCCCGAGCCUGCAGUGGAUACGGGCAGACUAGAGGUAGGUAGGGGAGAAUGGAAUUCCCGGUGUAGCGGUGAAAUUCGUAGAUAUCAGGAGGAACACCGGUGGCGAAGGCGGGUCUCUGGGCCGAUAUUGACGCUGAGGAGCGAAAGCGUGGGGAGCGAACAGG